rnacentral:rRNA from 1 species
AGAGUUUGAUCAUGGCUCAGAACGAACGCUGGCGGCAUGCCUAACACAUGCAAGUCGAACGAGACCUUCGGGUCUAGUGGCGCACGGGUGCGUAACGCAUGGGAAUCUGCCCUUGGGUUCGGAAUAACAGCGAGAAAUUGCUGCUAAUACCGGAUGAUGACGUAAGUCCAAAGAUUUAUCGCCCAAGGAUGAGCCCGCGUAGGAUUAGCUAGUUGGUGAGGUAAAGGCUCACCAAGGCGACGAUCCUUAGCUGGUCUGAGAGGAUGAUCAGCCACACUGGGACUGAGACACGGCCCAGACUCCUACGGGAGGCAGCAGUGGGGAAUAUUGGACAAUGGGCGAAAGCCUGAUCCAGCAAUGCCGCGUGAGUGAUGAAGGCCUUAGGGUUGUAAAGCUCUUUUACCCGGGAUGAUAAUGACAGUACCGGGAGAAUAAGCUCCGGCUAACUCCGUG